GCCUUCAUGGUGUAGUGGUCAGCACGCUCGACGCGUAACCGAGAGGUCCGUGGUUCGAUUCCCGGCGAAGGCU
rnacentral:tRNA from 1 species